CUGUUCUCUCCAUGCUUCUCCAAGCCAAGAAGUGAGAGGCUGGCUGGAAAAUCCAGGCUGGGGUUCAGAUUUGGAAAAUACCAAAAGUGAAUGCUGCCCUGGAUUUUGCAGUGCUGCCUACUGGAAAUCCCACCUGCAGCUGCAGUGGCUUUUGGCAUUAUCAUGCACGACUAGAAGAAAUAUUCAACAGUUUGGAGCAAGCAGAAUAAAACACUGACAGCUCAGGACUCUGAAAAUUCGGUUUGCAGAGUAAUUUGACAGAAGGUUUGGACACCAUGCCCACUGUAAUUUCCACUCAGGAGCUCAGCCGUGACCUUUCAGGUUCACAGGACACAGACAGCAGCUUGUCUGGAAAGGAGAGGCUUAUUCAGCACAAUGUGAUCCAGAUAUGCAGACAUCUCUCCAUGUAGACAUGGCUGAUAGAGCUGGGAUUUACAGGUGAGCAUGAGGAAGGGCCUCUGCCA
rnacentral:lncRNA from 1 species